rnacentral:rRNA from 1 species
UACGAAGGGGGCUAGCGUUGCUCGGAAUGACUGGGCGUAAAGGGCGCGUAGGCGGCUCAUACAGUCAGAUGUGAAAUUCCUGGGCUUAACCUGGGGGCUGCAUUUGAUACGUGUGGGCUUGAGUGGGGAAGAGGGUCGUGGAAUUCCCAGUGUAGAGGUGAAAUUCGUAGAUAUUGGGAAGAACACCAGUGGCGAAGGCGGCUGUCUGGUCCGGUUCUGACGCUGAGGCGCGAAAGCGUGGGGAGCAAACAGG